rnacentral:sRNA from 1 species
GGGUUGAGAGCUGUCCCCGGUUCUCCGUUCUGCUCUCGGGGGCACCUUCCGGGGUUCCUAAGCCGCGGGGCCCCUCGCUGCCCCUCGAGGCCCCUUCCCUGACCUAGGCUUUGGCCUGGGCUACUCGUUCCGGAGCCGCCAUGUCGUCCGACUUCGAAGGUUACGAGCAGGACUUCGCGGUGCUCACUGCAGAGAUCACCAGCAAGAUUGCGAGGGUCCCACGACUCCCGCCUGAUGAAAAGAAACAGAUGGUUGCAAAUGUGGAGAAACAGCUUGAAGAAGCGAAAGAACUGCUUGAACAGAUGGAUUUGGAAGUCCGAGAGAUACCACCCCAAAGUCGAGGGAUGUACAGCAACAGAAUGAGAAGCUACAAACAAGAAAUGGGAAAACUCGAAACAGAUUUUGAAUUAAGAUGCUUUAAGAAUGAAGUUUCUGGCUGGGUGCGGUGGCUCACGCCUGUAAUCCCAGCACUUUGGGAGGCCGAGGUGGGUGGAUCACCUGAGGUCAGGAGUAUAAGACCAGCCUGGCCAACAUGGUGAAACCCCGUCUCUACUAAAAAUACAAAAAAUUAGCUGGGCGUGGUGGCAGGCAUCUGUAAUCCCAUCUACUUCGGAAGGCAGAGGCAGGAGAAUUGCAUGAACCCGGGAGGUGGAGGUUGCAGUGAGCCGAGAUUGCGCCACUGCACUCCAGCCUGGACGACAAGAGCGAAACUCUGUCUAAAAAAAAAA